GACAGAGGGGGCAAGCGUUGCUCGGAAUCACUGGGCGUAAAGGGCGCGUAGGCGGGAUGGCAAGUCGGUCGUGAAAGCCUUCGGCUCAACCGAAGAAUGUCGGCCGAUACUGCCGUUCUUGAGGGAUGCAGAGGAGACUGGAAUUCCCGGUGUAGCGGUGAAAUGUGUAGAGAUCGGGAGGAACACCGGUGGCGAAGGCGGGUCUCUGGACAGUUCCUGACGCUGAGGCACGAAGGCCAGGGGAGCAAACGGG
rnacentral:rRNA from 1 species